rnacentral:rRNA from 1 species
UCUACGGGGGGCAGCAGUGGGGAAUAUUGGACAAUGGGGGCAACCCUGAUCCAGCCAUGCCGCGUGUGUGAAGAAGGCCCUCGGGUUGUAAAGCACUUUCAGUGAGGAAGAACGCCUGGUGGUUAAUACCCAUCAGGAAAGACAUCACUCACAGAAGAAGCACCGGCUAACUCCGUGCCAGCAGCCGCGGUAAUACGGAGGGUGCGAGCGUUAAUCGGAAUUACUGGGCGUAAAGCGCGCGUAGGUGGCUUGAUAAGCCGGUUGUGAAAGCCCCGGGCUCAACCUGGGAACGGCAUCCGGAACUGUCAAGCUAGAGUGCAGGAGAGGAAGGUAGAAUUCCCGGUGUAGCGGUGAAAUGCGUAGAGAUCGGGAGGAAUACCAGUGGCGAAGGCGGCCUUCUGGACUGACACUGACACUGAGGUGCGAAAGCGUGGGUAGCAAACAGGAUUAGAUACCCCUGUAGUC